rnacentral:lncRNA from 1 species
AGGAUUAGGCUGAAUUUAAGCACCCGCGGCCGCAGGAGUCCUGAACGCGGAAAACCAUACUUCGACCACGGUCUCGUACUUGUGACAGAGGCCAAACAUAUCCCACCUGCGGUUGCGUGAACCCGGACCGCGGCCACGGGUCAUUCAAACAACCUCCAACCCAAUUUCACCCAUUCCACCUCACCAUAACCCAUUCCAC